AGUUGGCCAUCUUUGCCCACAGGAUAUGAAUUCAACUAACUUCCAGAUUGAAAAUAUUCAGGGAAAAAAAUCACAUCUGUGUUGAAUAGAUUGGAACCCCAGGAUACAACUGGUGAUGCCAUGGGAAUUCUCCCAACUGGGAAAGAAGACAAGCACUUACACCAGCUGUGAAAUUCACCUUUUGAUUUUCCACCUUCCUGCUAGUGCACGCCCUGGGAGGCAGCAGGUGAUGGCUCAAGUACUUGAGUCAUUGCUACCACUAUGGGAAACUUGGAUCGUGAUCUUGACUCCUUCCCCUGACUCCUGUGUGCAUUUGGGAUGUGAACCA